rnacentral:rRNA from 1 species
UACGAAGGGGGCUAGCGUUGUUCGGAAUCACUGGGCGUAAAGCGCACGUAGGCGGAUGUGCCAGUCGGGGGUGAAAUCCUGGAGCUCAACUCCAGAACUGCCUUCGAUACUGAAGAGCUUGAGUCCGGGAGAGGUGAGUGGAACUGCGAGUGUAGAGGUGAAAUUCGUAGAUAUUCGCAAGAACACCAGUGGCGAAGGCGGCUCACUGGCCCGGUACUGACGCUGAGGUGCGAAAGCGUGGGGAGCAAACAGG